GAUGAAGAACGUAGUGAACGUGCGAAACGUAAUGUGAAUUGCAGAAUUCAGUGAAUCAUCGAAUCUUUGAACGCAUAUUGCGCUCUCUGGUAUUCCGGAGAGCAUGCUUGUUUGAGUAUCAGUAAACACCUCAACUUCCAUAUCUUUUUUGAAAUGGGAGUUGGACUUGAGUGAUCCCAACGCUUUUCCUCACCGAAAAGUGGCGGGUUACUUGAAAUGCAGGUGCAGCUGGACUUUUCUCUGAGCUAUAAGCAUAUCUAUUUAGUCUGCCUAAAAAACAGAUUAUUACCUUUGCUGCAGCUAACAUAAAGGAGAUUAGUUCUUGUGCUGACUGAUGCAGGAUUCACAAAGACAGGCUUCGGCCGACUUUGUAAACUCGAUCUCAAAUCAAGUAAGACUACCCGCUGAACUUAAGCAUAUCAAUAAGCGGAGGA
rnacentral:misc_RNA from 1 species